GCGCGUAGGCGGUUCAUCAAGUCUGGGGUGAAAUCUUUCGGCUUAACCGGAAAAGUGCCUGGGAUACUGAUGAACUGGAGGGAGAUAGGGGCAGCUGGAACUUCCGGUGGAGCGGUGAAAUGCGUUGAUAUCGGAAGGAACUCCGGUGGCGAAAGCGAGCUGCUGGAUCUCUACUGACGCUGAGGCGCGAAAGCCAGGGGAGCAAACGGGAUUAGAUACCCCGGUAGUCCUGGCCCUAAACGAUGGGUACUAGGUUGUGGACUUAACAUGGGUUCACAGCCGAAGCAAAAGUGUUUAGUACCCCGCCUGGGGAGUAUGGUCGCAAGGCUGAAACUCAAAGGAAUUGACGGGGGCUCACACAAGCGGUGGAGCAUGUGGCUCAAUUCGAGGCUACGCGAAGAACCUUAUCCUGGACUUGACAUGUGCGAAAGCGC
rnacentral:rRNA from 1 species